CGCGUCCGCCCCCCGCCCC
rnacentral:rRNA from 1 species